rnacentral:rRNA from 1 species
AGUGAACGCUGGCGGUAGGCCUAACACAUGCAAGUCGAACGGCAGCACAGUAAGAGCUUGCUCUUACGGGUGGCGAGUGGCGGACGGGUGAGGAAUACAUCGGAAUCUACUUUUUCGUGGGGGAUAACGUAGGGAAACUUACGCUAAUACCGCAUACGACCUACGGGUGAAAGCAGUGGAUCUUCGGACCUUGCGCGAUUGAAUGAGCCGAUGUCGGAUUAGCUAGUUGGCGGGGUAAAGGCCCACCAAGGCGAAGAUCCGUAGCUGGUCUGAGAGGAUGAUCAGCCACACUGGAACUGAGACACGCUCCAGACUCCUACGGGAGGCAGCAGUGGGGAAUAUUGGACAAUGAGCGCAACCCUGAUCCAGCCAUACCGCGUGGGUGAAGACGGCCUUCGUGUUGUAAAGCCCUUUUGUUGGGAAAGAAAAGCAGCAGGUUAAUACCCCGCUGUUCUGACGGUACCCAAAGAAUAAGCACCGGCUAACUUCGU